UCAGCUCUAGCUUGGAGGACAGCUCCAUGA
rnacentral:piRNA from 1 species